rnacentral:lncRNA from 1 species
GGCUCCCGUCAACUUCUGCGAGGCGGACCAAGAGACUGCCACCUGCAAGUCUCUGCAAACAGCAAGUUAAUUUGUACCUCUCAGACUUGCGAGAAUAAAAUGAGACAACGUAUGACAAGCACUGACAAAAACACUUGGCACAUGUCAUCUGUAGCACUAUUUGUAAAUAGUCUGGACUCAGUGGAACCUGCUGUCUUAUGAAUAUAAUAUUUUUAACAAGACAGAAACAUGUUCAAAAGUUUGUGUAAAAUUUUAUGAUAUAGCAAGUGAAGAUCGAAAGAAAAGGCUGGAUUUUUUGAAGAAAGGAACACAGCUGAAUUAUCAACGUCACUGUUUGAAUUCAACAGAAGCAAUACUUUCUACCUCUUCGACCACACUGAUAUUACCGUUACAUAUCCUGGGGAAAGUGAAACAAAUUGGGCUAUUGCAAGUUUGGUUACUGCUUGACUUGAUCUCAAAAGGUCCGUAUUAUAAAGGAUGUUCGAAUUGUUGA